UACGGAGGGGGCUAGCGUUGUUCGGAAUUACUGGGCGUAAAGCGUACGUAGGCGGCUUUGUAAGUUAGAGGUGAAAGCCUGGAGCUCAACUCCAGAACUGCCUUUAAGACUGCAUCGCUUGAAUCCAGGAGAGGUGAGUGGAAUUCCGAGUGUAGAGGUGAAAUUCGUAGAUAUUGGGAAGAACACCGGUGGCGAAGGCGGCUCACUGGCUCGUUUCUGACACUCAGGCACGACAGCGUGGGGAUCAAACAGG
rnacentral:rRNA from 1 species